CCUACGGGAGGCAGCAGUGAGGAAUAUUGGUCAAUGGACGAGAGUCUGAACCAGCCAAGUAGCGUGAAGGAUGACUGCCCUAUGGGUUGUAAACUUCUUUUAUAAAGGAAUAAAACGAGGCACGUGUGCCUUUUUGCAUGUACUUUAUGAAUAAGGAUCGGCUAACUCCGUGCCAGCAGCCGCGGUAAUACGGAGGAUCCGAGCGUUAUCCGGAUUUAUUGGGUUUAAAGGGAGCGUAGAUGGGAUGUUAAGUCAGUUGUGAAAGUUUGCGGCUCAACCGGUGAAGUGCAAUUGAUACUGGCAGGCUGGAGUGCAGUUGAGGUAGGCGGAAUGCGUGGUGUAGCGGUGAAAUGCUUAGAUAUCACGAAGAACCCCGAUUGCGAAGGCAUCUUACGAAACUGUGACUGACAUUGAUGCUCGAAAGUGUGGGUAUCAAACAGGAUUAGAUACCCCGGUAGUC
rnacentral:rRNA from 1 species